GCAGUCGAACGGGCCUGGUCGCAAGACCAGGUCAGUGGCGCAAGGGUGAGUAAGGCGACGGCAACCAACCCCAUGGUUGGGCAUAGCCGCGGGAAACUGCGGGUAAUUCCCAGCGAUGUUCGCGUCGGGCAUCCGAUGCGAACCAAAGUUUCGGCGCCGUGGGACGGGCCGUCGUGGUAUUAGGUCGUUGGCGGGGUAAUGGCCCACCAAGCCUCUGAUGCCUACCGGGCGUGCGAGCGUGGCCCGGCACACUGGGACUGAGACACUGCCCAGACUCCUACGGGAGGCUGCAGUCGAGAAUCUUCGGCAAUGGGCGCAAGCCUGACCGAGCGACGCCGCGUGGAGGAUGAAGGCCUUCGGGUUGUAAACUCCUGUCGAGGGGGAGGAAGGCGCAAGCUUGACCUAUCCCUGGAGGAAGCACGGGCUAAGUUCGUGCCAGCAGCCGCGGUAAGACGAACCGUGCGAACGUUAUUCGGAAUCACUGGGCUUAAAGCGCGUGUAGGCGGAUGGGGACGUCGGUUGCUGAAAUCCCCCGGCUCAACCGGGGAACGGGCGCCGAAACGCCCCGUCUGGAGGGACGUAGGGGGACCUGGAACUUCCGGUGGAGCGGUGAAAUGCGUUGAGAUCGGAAGGAACGCCCGUGGCGAAAGCGAGGUCCUGACGUUUUCUGACGCUAGACGCGAAAGCUAGGGGUAGCGAACGGGAUUAGAUACCCCGGUAGUCCUACUGUAAACGAUGGCACUAGGGUAGGGGGCUCGCAUGGGGCUCUCUGCCGCAGGGAACCGUGAAUGCCCCCCUGGGGUAUGGUCGCAAGGCUGAAACUCAAAGGAAUUGACGGGGCUCACAC
rnacentral:rRNA from 1 species